rnacentral:rRNA from 1 species
GGGCCCGCACAAGCGGUGGAGCAUGUGGUUUAAUUCGAUGAUACGCGAGGAACCUUACCAGGGCUUAAAUGUAAGUUGCAUUAGUUAGAGAUAGCUAUUUCUUCGGACCACUUACAAGGUGCUGCAUGGUUGUCGUCAGCUCGUGCCGUGAGGUGUCAGGUUAAGUCCUAUAACGAGCGCAACCCCUAUCGUUAGUUGCCAGCGGGUAAUGCCGGGAACUCUAGCGAAACUGCCGGUGCAAACCGUGAGGAAGGUGGGGAUGACGUCAAAUCAUCACGGCCCUUACGUCCUGGCUACACACGUGCUACAAUGGUCGGUACAGAGAGCAGCCACUACGCGAGUAGGAG